CGUGUAGGCGGCCCGAUUAGUCCGCUGUGAAAGUCCAGGGCUCAACCCUGGAAUGCCGGUGGAUACUGUCGGGCUAGAGUCCGGAAGGGGCGAGUGGAAUUCCUGGUGUAGCGGUGAAAUGCGCAGAUAUCAGGAGGAACACCAAUGGCGAAGGCAGCUCGCUGGGACGUGACUGACGCUGAGACGCGAAAGCGUGGGGAGCAAACA
rnacentral:rRNA from 1 species